rnacentral:rRNA from 1 species
UACGGGGGGGGCAAGCGUUGUUCGGAAUUACUGGGCGUAAAGGGCUCGUAGGCGGCCAACUAAGUCAAACGUGAAAUCCCCAGGCUCAACCUGGGAACUGCAUCCGAUACUGGAUGGCUUGAAUUCGGGAGAGGGAUGCAGAAUUCCAGGUGUAGCGGUGAAAUGCGUAGAUAUCUGGAGGAAUACCGGUGGCGAAGGCGGCAUCCUGGACCGACAUUGACGCUGAGGAGCGAAAGCCAGGGGAGCAAACGGG